ACAGAUAUUUAUGGAGCAUCCAUUGCGUGGGAGUUAUUGUCUCAGAUGCUGGAUGCCCUCUGAGAGCAGUCACGCUGUCACGUGCAUACACGGGAGCUACGCCAAAACUUCGGGGAGGAUUAGAGGAGGCCUGGUCCAGAAACACACUGCUUUCAGAAAUGCAGGCCUCGGGGACAAGGUUUCUAAACAGAAUCGAGGAGGAAGUGUACCCACCCAAGGACGUCAUCACCAGCAAGGACCCAGGAUGCGAGGCCUGCUUGGGGUCUGGCUGUAGAGUUCAGUGACAAGUUCCUGAGGCCACGAGGCAGCCAGUUAGCAAGGUUUUCUGUUUAAGUUCAAUUCGUGUUAUGUAAGAAACUCAGAACAGACAUUUUUUUUUAGUACAUCUCUUAAUGACCUGACUAGGAUAAAUUGGAUGCACUGAUAAUAGCUAUAGUAUGUACCGAAAAGUACUUUCUAAGAAAUAGAAACAUUGCUCCAGUGGAAUGAUGAAAAAUUUAUCAUCAGAAGAGAGCUCGGCACAGGGAUGGUGGAAUAGCAAUAAUCUACUCAGGACCCGGCGUGAUUUUAUUUUCUCUGAGGUACCGUCAAGGACCAUUAAGCAGAAGAGGCAUUUAUAGAAUCAUAAGACUAUCAGAGCUGAAAGGGUCAUCUCUAGUCCUCCAUCUCAGUUUUAUAGGGCAGGAAGCCCAGGCCUGCUUACCCAAGGGUAAUCACACU
rnacentral:lncRNA from 1 species